ensembl:lncRNA
GCGAGCUGAGUCGAGUCGUGUCGAGCUGGUACCAUGCAGUGGAAAAGCGGCAAUAGUUACCAAGCAACCAUCAAUGGACAUAAACCAUAAACCAGAGCUGCCAUAAACCAUUGAUACAAAGUUACGUUGGUAAGUGACCAACUAACUAAUUUGAUACAAACAAACUAGUUGCAAAUGAAAUAGCUAGGGUAACCAGCUUCCACGUCAAAGAUCAAUAUAAUAUUAGUCUGACUAAGUAGGUUUGAUAUAUAGCAAGUUAUGUAAAACUUCGGUAUUGCAGACAGGCUAGUUGCAGACAUAUUAGCAUAGAUGAAAAGCUGUGAAUAAUCUAACCUCUACAGAGUUGUUUUAAACGUAUGUUUGUGUGAUACUAACUAACUGAUUAAUUCGUUAAUGACAGACAGGCUAGUUGCAGAUAGUCUAGCAUAGAUGACAGAUGUGCAAUCUAACCACAAGAGUUGUUUUACAGUGCCUACAGUGAAUAGGAGGAAGGCACUUGCCUUACUUGUUAUCCUCCAAAGGAUUAAAAAGAGAAAACGGACCUGGGUGACUGCAAUCAACCAGCGCAGGCGACAGCAAGGGUCUAACAAUGAGGCAAGGAGGCGCAGGAGAAGGGCACUGCUGAAUAAAACGGCAGUUGCGGUAAUAUUACAGCAGCAGGAGGCGCGCUAUGUUGACCUUAGGGGUCAGUAUUGUCAGCUGAAUGACAAAACCCCAGCUGUUUCCCUUUUUUUUGGUGACGGCGACCUAAAGAAAGACUUCCGUCUUUCUAGGGAGUCCGUGAAUGCCCUUGUGGAGGCCCUGGUGGAUGAGCACAUCCAUGGCUGGGGG